CUCGGGUUUUUUCUUUGUAUCCGUUUUUUUCUUUUAUUUUUUUAACUCCUUUGGUUC
rnacentral:ribozyme from 1 species